GGGGAUAUAGCUCAGUGGUAGAGUACAUGCUUGGCACGAGGUCCUGGAUUCAAUCCCCAGUGCCCCCA
rnacentral:tRNA from 1 species